GUGGAGAGCGCGAGUUCUUUGAACAUAGCGCCACAAGAUCCAAACACCCCAAGCGGCAACGGCAAGCGCGAUAAGAAGUCCGUCAAAGCGCCAGCCAAGGAUCCCAAGAAGAAUGAUGAAAAGAAGGAUGAGGAUUUGGUAAGCAAUUCUAAGGGUUACGGUUUCGUUCACUGCCUGUUUGGUUCCUGGGAAAAUUUCUUAAGCUGAAGUUCUUGCAUUAGACUAUUUCUAACAGUGUAAACUUUAGUGCUUGUUCAAAAACACGAGAUAUCAAUACCCAAUAUAGAGUCUGCGACAUCUGUAGCAAUUAGUGAUAGAACUGUUGGAGUUGAUGGCCUCAAGUUACCACGUAUACAAGAGCAAAUAUUCAGUCAUGGCUCAGUCAGAAAUCAUAAAUUAAUGCUCAGAUAUGUGCAGUUACUCUCAACCUAGACUUUGCCAAAAAAAAAAGGACAAAAGACAUUAUAAUGCUCAGAUCAGUCUCGUCCCCAAAAUCCAUCAAAGCCUCCCGGUCAUGAUUGUAGAGAGACACUCUCUCUCUCUCCCAUUUGUUGCACUCUGACGCCACCAACCUCUGAUUCUCCUCAACAAACUUCUUCAAAGCUUGUGCAUUCAGACUCGCUUCGGCCUAAAAAACGAAACCAUCAAAAACAAAAACACAAAGAAAACAAACUAUCAAAACGAUUAUAUGAAUAUGUAAAUGCAUGAACCCUAGCGCGCUCAAGGACUUGUAAUAUACCCUGAAAAAUUCAAGGUGGAUUUUCAUAUUUUAGUGAAAAAUAAUAUUAUAGUGGAGAAUGAUUAUGGGUAUUUUAUCAAGUGAUUUUAGAUGGAGAUUAUUAAAUUAAGCGUGUUUAAUUUCAAGUUCGACAAAAUGACCAAAAUACCCCUAUGUGUGUAAGAUUACCAAAAUACCCUUGUAGGCAACUAAACAAAAACAACAACAACAAAAAAAAAAAAAAUACCUAAAACGUGGAGGGCAUCAAACCACCCUCCUCCCAUUCUUCCCUCCUUGCCUCAAGUUUUCAAAUCCACCAUUUAUGAAAGGAUGAGUCACCUAUUCUAAAUUGAUGACUCACCUAGCCUAAGAUUCUUCAAUCAUGAAUUUAUUCUCUUUCUCCCUAUUCAUUGUAUCAUCACUCUUUUCUAAAUUGAUGACUCACCUAGCCUAAGAUUCUUCAAUCAUGUAAUUAUUCUUAUCCUCAUCAUUCAUUGUAUCAUCCUUUUCUUCCUCAUUCACCUUAUUUUCAUCCUCAUUCUUCUUUUGUUCCUCUUCAAAAUCUAAAAUUCGUCACUUCCUUGGAGCAGCCGAGAACUCAAAUAUAGAAAGCUCAAAUGAGAAAACUUCUUUCAUAAAAGUUGUUCAUUUACGUGAUUCCUAUAACAUGCUCCAUUUUCACCUCAAUCCGAUUAGUACAGACUCCAAAAAGUUGGUGUUCUACUCUGCGUAAGGACAAACCCGCACAAGGUUAAGCUAGUUGGACAUGAGAUAUGGAUCAAAGACGAAUGUUGUUGAUAUUAUUGUUGGAGAUGUGGCAUUUAGAAACCAUGUGUGCUUGCACGAUUCUUGUGGACAAUGCUUGAGGACAUGGCCUAGCUAAAUUUGAUGCAUCUAUCAUUUUGGAAACACCACAAAUGAUGCAUUGAUAAGAUUGGCUUCAUUUUGGAAACACCACAAAUUGUAUAACAUAUUGCUAGCAUUAAAGCCAGAUAGUUCUUAGUUAUGGGGCUUAUUAAUUCAUUUUGAAAUUGUGGAUGUUUAUUUGUAUGUAUUAGUGGUAGAAUUGUGUAUAGUAAACCUCUAAUUUCUGAGUCAUGUAGAUGACUUUGACAUAUAUGAAGAAUUUCUAACUUUUGCAUAUAUGAAAGGUACAUGCCAAUUUGGU